rnacentral:rRNA from 1 species
AGAGUUUGAUCCUGGCUCAGGAUGAACGCUGGCGGCAUGCCUAAUACAUGCAAGUCGAACGAAGUCUUUAGGAAGCUUGCUUCCAAAGAGACUUAGUGGCGAACGGGUGAGUAACACGUAGGUAACCUGCCCAUGUGCCCGGGAUAACUGCUGGAAACGGUAGCUAAAACCGGAUAGGUAUGAGGGAGGCAUCUUCCUCAUAUUAAAGCACCUUCGGGUGUGAACAUGGAUGGACCUGCGGCGCAUUAGCUGGUUGGUGAGGUAACGGCCCACCAAGGCGAUGAUGCGUAGCCGACCUGAGAGGGUGAACGGCCACAUUGGGACUGAGACACGGCCCAAACUCCUACGGGAGGCAGCAGUAGGGAAUUUUCGUCAAUGGGGGGAACCCUGAACGAGCAAUGCCGCGUGUGUAAAGAAGGUCUUCGGAUCGUAAAGCACUGUUGUAAGUGAAGAAUGCCACAUAGAGGAAAUGCUAUGUGGGUGACGGUAGCUUACCAGAAAGCCACGGCUAACUACGUGCCAGCAGCCGCGGUAAUACGUAGGUGGCAAGCGUUAUCCGGAAUCAUUGGGCGUAAAGGGUGCGUAGGUGGCACGAUAAGUCUGAAGUAAAAGGCAACAGCUCAACUGUUGUAUGCUUUGGAAACUGUCGAGCUAGAGUGCAGAAGAGGGCGAUGGAAUUCCAUGUGUAGCGGUAAAAUGCGUAGAUAUAUGGAGGAACACCAGUGGCGAAGGCGGUCGCCUGGUCUGUAACUGACACUGAUGCACGAAAGCGUGGGGAGCAAAUAGGAUUAGAUACCCUAGUAGUCCACGCCGUAAACGAUGAGAACUAAGUGUUGGAGAGAUUCAGUGCUGCAGUUAACGCAAUAAGUUCUCCGCCUGGGGAGUAUGCACGCAAGUGUGAAACUCAAAGGAAUUGACGGGGGCCCGCACAAGCGGUGGAGUAUGUGGUUUAAUUCGAAGCAACGCGAAGAACCUUACCAGGGCUUGACAUCCCACUAACGAAGCAGAGAUGCAUUAGGUGCCCUUCGGGGAAAGUGGAGACAGGUGGUGCAUGGUUGUCGUCAGCUCGUGUCGUGAGAUGUUGGGUUAAGUCCCGCAACGAGCGCAACCCUUGUCACUAGUUGCUACGAAAGGGCACUCUAGUGAGACUGCCGGUGACAAACCGGAGGAAGGUGGGGAUGACGUCAAAUCAUCAUGCCCCUUAUGACUUGGGCUACACACGUGCUACAAUGGCGUAAACAAAGGGAAGC